UAGAUGACUGACGCCCUCUUACCCUCCCUCCGUCUCUCGCCCUCAUUUUCUCUCUCUCUCCAUGCUCUCUCCGCUACACCACCAAUACUUUUUUCCCUGGCUGUGGCGUGUUUGUGCUUUAGCGAGUGUACAGCGAAACCAGUUCUGUGCUGAUCCAGCGUGUGCUAUCCCAUAUACAGAGCCAGGAGCAGCGUACCUCUUGCCAACAGCCUGCCUCCACUUUGCUGCCUUUUCUGCUUUGAUUUCUUACUGUCUGCUUUUCCACCAGACCUUUUCUUUCUUUAACCCUCUGCUCUCUUCCAAGAAAGAUCUAGGAAGAGGGGAAAGAAAUAAGAGAAAGGUGUCUGCGUGAAGGGGAGAUGAGGAGGCAGAAAAGGAGAGAGAGAGGGGAGAGGACUAGAGAAGACUGGAGUUAGGCUGCAACACGAGAGGCAAAGCAACGAGGAGAGGGAGAAAGAAGAGAGCAACAAGGAUCGAGGGAUGAUCGAGGUGGAAUCGGGCAAAAACGCAGGAAAAAGGGGGAAAAUAUUGCCAGACUCAUCCGACCUCUGCUGUGUGGGGACCGGACCCAUCACCUGACUGCCCUCUCCUGUCUUCCUGGUCCUCAGCAGAACAGCCAUGAGGUAGAGUCGGACAUUUUGGAAAAUUGUAUCCAGCGACAUCUUGCUAAGAUGGAUGCAAGGACUUCUCUCUUCACCCUUCCACAUCCUCCUUUAACCCUACACGACCAUCAUGUCCUGUGUCCCCAUCUCACCCUUUGAGUGAGAGCACAGCUCCUGUCCUUCAUUUGAACCACUGUCAGACUAACAAAGGCAACAUCUACCUUUAAUUGUCAGUGAAGACAGGGUGACAGUGGCUCAACCAGUAGGAGUUAGAAGAGAGAAAGGGCAGAAUUGCUCUUUAAGUUCUCGUAAGCAGAUGUAGCCAUUCUUGGCCCGUAGCUGGUUGCCCCGGCAAACAUAGUGUUGUUAAAUUGCAGAGCAGACCCACACAAUCAGGUUGGAGAUUGUCAAGUGUUACAUAGUGGUAUCUUAAGUGUAGAGGAAUUAUACUGACUGGGACUAUUUUAUUCUGAUUGACACAGCUCAGUGGACUGCCUAGGGGGUCCGUAGAGGCGAAUGUCUCUAAAGAGCUAUCAGAGAAAUGAUUCAGAGCUGAGGUUAUUAAGAUAGGAUAUUACAUAUUAACGGAAUAUAUUAGGUAUGAAUACACACACUGUCAAUCAGUAUACCUCUAGAAGGUAUGUAUUAUAUUGUAUGUUAUACCACAGCAUUGUUUCUGAUUGGCGAGAAGGGCAUUCUAGAAUGGGCAUUAACAAGUUGUUAUACAGAAUGUCUGGAAUGUGUAUUAAUUAUAUUACAUGUUUCAUAUUGUUUCAUAUGUUUCAUAAUGUUUCACAUUUCAAACCCACACAGGAGCGGGCUGGUUGCCGCAGAAAUGAAAUGUCAGACGAGGUCAUAGCUUUGUGUCGUCGGUGCGACGAUGCGUUUCUUUUUUCUUUCGUAAAAAAUAAUUUCAUCCAUCUGGCCACCUUUGCUUAUGUGAAACGCCUGUGGAACUACUUUUCCCAGCAUGCCCCUCUGUCCCUGAGACCCUUAACCUGUGAGGUCAUAGUAGGUCACAGGUGAGGUCCUUGGGAACAGGGCUGCAUUCAUGUUCAUCAUUGUGGAGCAAAAGAAAAGAGAAGAGUCGCUGUGGAAGAUGACUUACUGUUUUUAUACGUCAAUGAACUCCUUGUUAUUUCCCAUAGAAUGUUCCAGUGUAAAGAAUGCAAUGUAUAGUGUUUCAACUGGUGUUUCCUUUUAAAGUGAUCAUAGUUAGAGUUGCUUCCACACAUCUGAAUACAACAUAAAAACCCAGACUUUGACACCGUGGUUGGAUGUCCCAUGUCUUUAUAUCUGAUAAUGGGACACACAGCCCUAUCCAUUCUGCAUGACUCUACUGAAUGUUAUGGUACUUAUGUACUUGUCUGAAGUUCCCUCUUAACAACAAAUACCUGUGGAAUAGGAUGUCUGUCUGUGACCUCAGGGGGCCCACCCUAUUGGCUGGCUUUGUGUUCUAACCCAUCAUGGGAGCCAAUCAGAAGACAGCCAAGGGUGGUGACCCCGUCAAAGUUAUCAUCUUCGAAGACAGCUAAUGAUCCAAAUGAAAUAAAGUAUUUACACACUGUUACUGUAUUUGUUUUACUGUAUAAAUUGUAUGUCUUAAUUUCUAAAUAAAGACAGAGUAAUGUAAACGGUGUGACAGUCUGUGUGAACGUGUCAAGAGGAGCGUGCUAUGAGCUAUGUCUGGCAGAUCUGCA